AAUAUCAAAGAGUCCCUCUAAGAACUAUCAGAAAGCUAUGUCAGAAAAGUCUCUUCUGCAAUAUCUAUUGUUUAAAAGUAAGUAAUCCUUUCAAAGUAUUAAUAUAGGAUUUAUUUUAUAUAGUUAAGAUUCUAAUAUUGUUUAAAUACUAUAAUAUUUUACUAGUUAUAUAGUUAAGUCUGCAUUUACUUAAUGAUUCGUUAAAUAUGGUUUUAUAUUUGAUAUUAAAACCUUUAAUAUUGAUCAUUGUGUUUUAAUAAAACAUGCAACAUAUAUUAUUAUAAAGAGAAAAUUACUGAAUAAUUCAUUGUUAAUGUUUAGAGAGUUUAAAGCCCAAGUUAAGUAAGCUAUCAUUAAACAAGUUCAAAAGAUGCUCAGUGGUUUACCACUGAAAGAAGACCUGUGAAAAUGUGUAUUAGGCAGGGGUGCAGAUCAGUUAUUUCCAUUCUUCCAUUCUUGCUGUACUACAUGACAUUUGAAGCACCUGGAUGGGCUAUCAAAUGAGAAAUUAGCAUUAUACAUUGAUAGCAUUGGGAAACAUUGGUCUUUCAUUUCCACUUUUUUCCUCUUUCCCUCCCCCAGCCCUGCAACAUGGUAUUCAUCUGGUUUUAAUGCUGCAUAAAUAUGCAUUGUCUCAUGCCUGUUUGCUUUGGAUGCUGUAUGCCCAGCUGUAACAAGAUGUUGCUUCUUUUGUUAUUUGUAUACAGCCGCUUGCUUUAAACUAGUAGAUGCUGAAAUAGCUUUCCUUGCAUGUCUAAAAUAAAAAUAUUGCAUG
rnacentral:lncRNA from 1 species